rnacentral:rRNA from 1 species
CCCUUAGAUGUCCUGGGCCGCACGCGCGCUACACUGAGUGUCUGAGAUACGAGUCUGCCUGGUCCGGCAAGGUCUAGGUAAUCGCUAAAAGACACAUCAUGCUUGGGAUAGAUUAUUGCAAAUAUUAAUCUUGAACGAGGAAUUCCUAGUAAGCGCAAGUCAACAGCUUGCGUUGAUUACGUCCCGGCCCUUUGUACACACCGCCCGUCGCUACUACUGAUUGGAUGUUUAAGCGAGGUUCUCGAACUGCUAGCGACUUAGCUUCGGUGAGGUCGCAGUGUGGGAAGUGAACCUAGCUUUGGUGUCUAGAGGAAGUAAAAGUCGUAACA